rnacentral:tRNA from 1 species
GCUCUAAUAGCUUAAA